rnacentral:rRNA from 1 species
UGGAGGAAAGUAGGGGAUCGUAAGACCUUGCGCUUUUGGAGCGGCCGAUGUCUGAUUAGCUAGUUGGUGGGGCAAUGGCCUACCAAAGCUUCGAUCAGUAGCUGGUCUGAGAGGACGACCAGCCACACUGGGACUGAGACACGGCCCAGACUCCUACGGGAGGCAGCAGUGGGGAGUUUUGGACAAUGGGCGCAAGCCUGAUCCAGCCAUGCCGCGUGAGUGAAGAAGGCCUUCGGGUUGUAAAGCUCUUUCAGCCGGGAAGAAAAGGCUGCGACUAAUAAUCGUAGCUCAUGACGGUACCGGAAGAAGAAGCACCGGCUAACUACGUGCCAGCAGCCGCGGUAAUACGUAGGGUGCGAGCGUUAAUCGGAAUUACUGGGCGUAAAGGGUGCGCAGGCGGUUUUGUAAGUCAGAUGUGAAAUCCCCGGGCUUAACCUGGGAACUGCGUUGAAACUACAAGGCUAG